rnacentral:tRNA from 1 species
GGGGAUUUAGCUCAGUUGGUAGAGCGUUCGCUUAGCAUGCGAAAGGUCGCGUGUUCGACUCAUGCAGUCUCCA